rnacentral:rRNA from 1 species
AUUGAACGCUGGCGGCAGGCCUAACACAUGCAAGUCGAGCGAGAGGCGGACGGGUGAGUAAUGUCUGGGAAACUGCUGGAUGGAGGGGGAGAACUACUGGAAACGGUAGCUAAUACCGCAUCCCAUCAGAUGUGCCCAGAUGGGUUUAGCUAGUGGGUGGGGUAACGGCUCACCUAGGCGACGAUCCCUAGCUGGUCUGAGAGGAUGACCAGCAACACUGGAACUGAGACACGGUCCAGACUCCUACGGGAGGCAGCAGUGGGGAAUAUUGCACAAUGGGCGAAAGCCUGAUGCAGCCAUGCCGCGUGUGUGAAGAAGGCCUUCGGGUUGUAAAGCACUUUCAGCGGGGAGGCGUUACCAGAAGAAGAAGCACCGGCUAACUCCGUGCCAGCAGCCGCGGUAAUUC